GAUGAACGCUGGCGGCGUGCUUAACACAUGCAAGUCGAACGGAAAGGCUCCUGCUUGCAGGGGUACUCGAGUGGCGAACGGGUGAGUAACACGUGGGUGAUCUGCCCUGCACUUCGGGAUAAGCCUGGGAAACUGGGUCUAAUACCGGAUAGGACGAUGGUCUGGAUGCCAUUGUGGAAAGUUUUUCGGUGUGGGAUGAGCUCGCGGCCUAUCAGCUUGUUGGUGGGGUAAUGGCCUACCAAGGCGUCGACGGGUAGCCGGCCUGAGAGGGUGUACGGCCACAUUGGGACUGAGAUACGGCCCAGACUCCUACGGGAGGCAGCAGUGGGGAAUAUUGCACAAUGGGCGCAAGCCUGAUGCAGCGACGCCGCGUGGGGGAUGACGACCUUCGGGUUGUAAACUCCUUUCGCUAGGGACGAAGCGCAAGUGACGGUACCUGGAGAAGAAGCACCGGCUAACUACGUG
rnacentral:rRNA from 1 species